UGCAAAGUCGAACGGAUUUUAGCUUUCGGGCGAAAAAAUUAGUGGCAGACGGGUGAGUAAUACAGAGGAAUCUACCUAGCAGUAAGGAAUAACUUUGGGAAACCAAAGCUAAUGCCAUAUAUUACCGAUUUAUCGGGAAAAGAUUUAUCGCUGUUAGAUGAGCCUCUGUCGGAUUAGCUAGUUGGUGGGGUAAUGGGCCUACCAAGGCGAUGAUCCGUAGCUGGUCUGAGAGGAUGAUCAGCCACACUGGAACUGAGACACGGUCCAGACUCC
rnacentral:rRNA from 1 species